CCCGCCCCAUGGGGCCGGCUGUCAACGCCACUGCAGCGGGCGCACGUGGGCCGAAGCUCGGCCCCAAGCGCAGGGAGCGGCCAGGCGCUCCCACCCUGACCAGUCCCGGUCCGAGACCAGCCGAAGGCUACUGGGAGCUGGGCGUGGUGGCGCAGCGAGGUGGAAACCCCAAUGUUGGUAUUCUGGCGUCCUGGGAGAGGCGAGGGCUGGGCCUCUCUGCUAGCUCCUUGGCCCAGGCAGCUGGAGAACAAGGCUGAGCGUCCUCUUUUGGACAUGAGGGAGCAGCAGAGCACUUUCAGCUCUGACUGCGCCCAUCCUGUGGAUCUUCUUCCUUGCUUUGCUUCGUGAUGGCCCCGAGAAGUGGUAAACUGCCCUGCCAGCUACUAAUCCUCGCUUGGAUUAGCCUUGCUUUAAAUGCAGUUUGUGAGAAGAGCAAUGGCGAUGCAGACCACCCGCUGCUGGGUGAGGUCUCCUGCUCACCCUUGUUCUUAGAUGUCCCCUUAAUGCCGCCACCUUCCCCCUUAGCUUCAGAGAAGACAGACCAUUCACGGAAAACAGUGUGAAUGACGUGGGGCCCCAGGAAGAGUGCUGAGGUCCUUUAUAGACUGUGAGUCCUGUGGAACAGCUUGUACAGAUGAUCUGGUAACCUUGAUCAUGAAACAAGGAUCCCCAGGGGCAGGCGCCACGGCUGACUCACCUCUUGGGCCCAGGGCCCAUCAUCACUGGGCUUGGCCAGAUAGUUUGCAGGUACUCAGCCAGAAUCAUCUUUUGGAGGGACAGUGCUACUUCUGAUGGAACCCUGCCUGUGAUGCCAUCUACACAUCAUCCAAGCCUACAUUCUCUGGCAAGUGCCUUUAGUAGCAUCCUCUUUUACAGAUGUGAAAACCAGGAGGAGGAAAGCUGGUGUCUACAUGGAGUCCGGUGACCUGGUUACAUGAUGAGAAGAGGCUGCUCUGGGAGCUGUCUUUGGACAAGGACUUCAUAAGCCAGGAAGUGGAAACACUGGGGCUUCCUCCUGGCAGAUCAGGAAUGUGUGAGAAGCAGGAUCUCUGGGGCCUCAUUCUGCCCUGUUAUCAUCCCGAUAGGCCCUGGUAGGCACCCAUUGUUCAUGGAUAUGGCAAGGAAAAGUUUUCAAGAUCACCAGGAACUGACUCAUCAGGCCUGCCACACUCUCAUUGGGUUUUCUAGAGACAGUUGGGGAAGAAAUGGUAGCUGUCUGGGACCUGCCAAAGUCAGUAAUAUCCCGGAUAGGACAAAGACAGGAGUCCCCUUCUCUGGAGAAGACUUACAUCCUUCUGUCCAGCCAUGCAGCCAUCCAUCAUAUAUGUUAAUUCCACAGACAGGUACAGUGCAAUAUUCUAGGAGAUGUCAUUGUCAAGAACCUAAUAGCAAGACUCUAAGCCAGGAUACCUGGGUUCGAAUCCUGUGUGACUUUGGGCAAGCAACCAACUUUUCUCUGUGCAGCAAGUUCCUCACCUGUAAUAGGGGAAUAGUUACUCGAUAGACGAAUAGAACAGUGCCAGGGCACAGUAGGUGCUAUAAAAGGAGGUUCCGAGUAAAAAAGAGUCUCUAAGAGGUCGAUUCUGUAAGCAGCUCUAAGUCAGAGGCCAGCUAGUACCCAGCCUUAGCCCUGUGUGUAUGUUACUUGCUUCAGCCACAUUUUGGGACAGGUACCAUUGUCAUCCACACCUGAGAGGUAAGAGGAGAGCCUCUCAGAGAAGUGGAGUUCGGGGGUUCUGUGUCUUCCAGGAGCCAGCACAGAGCAGGGGGCAUCCAAGGGCCUGAACUGUGCGCCUGCAUUCUGUUGCUUCCCAGCUCUGCCUCCUGCAUCUAUCCAGGCUGUGUGGGGAGAGAACAGCUCAUUGUCCGGGGACCGACAGAGCGCAUGGCAAGACCUCAGGCCAGCUGUGAAAGAUGGAUGGCAGGCCAUGGGAGCAGCAUGGUCCAUGUCCUACUUUAUUCAUCUUGACAACGGCACCACCGGAGGCCAAUGUGACCCUGUGUGACACUGGGGAAGACAACCCUGAAGAGUUAAAUCCUGGUAAUCGGUGGAUCCAGGAUGCAAAGUUAUACACCCCUCUCCUGAGCCCAAAGUGGUGUCACUUUCUCUAAAACUAAUCACAAGUACGUGUCUCAUUACCUACAAAAGUAUCGCAAAUGCAAUAAUAGAUAGAAAUGGGAAAGACUCUUAGACACAUACAUUUAAGUUCCAAAGAAAUGGCAAAAACAAAAAAAGUGUAACCUAUCCUCCCAAAGAAGGAAAAGCAACAAGGGGGAAAGAACUACGGACCUGCCAGUCCUCAGGCCAGUGGCUCAUUGAGGGAACUGGUUUGGGCAAUGUCCAUAGUGAAGGUAGCCGAUCCUCAGUGUACAAGCAAUUGUGAAAAGAAACUUUACUGGAAGCAGAACGGAAUGCAAUGGUUGUUUCUCUGCAGCUUACCAUGCAGCACCCUCUCGCAGGCCAACAAUCCUUGACAGUCCAACUGGGAGAAAAAUCAAAGAGGCGAUUGAAUGAGAGCUGCCCUGGGUGAGUGCCCAAGAGUCACAGGAUCCCAGAACAAAGCAGAAGCAUGGGCCCCAGUGGCCUUCGAAGAAUGGUGAGAGGCCUUGCCCUCGAGGUUUUCUGUGCCCCUGAGGACCAAGAGAAGCAGCUCAGAAAAAGGCUGUGCUGCCCUGUGGGCAACUUGGAGCAGAGCAAAUCUAUAUUGCACGGUUCACUGUGGGCAGAGAAGGAAGAACAGGACUGAGGGCAGAUUGGGGAAGGGAAGCAUGAGCAUGAACCCCUGGGCUCAGCCGUCUCCCCAUCCUCCUGGGCUCAGCCUUCGUGCUUGGUGCUCCCUCCUGUCUCCACCCAGGGCUGACCACUGGCACUCCCUUUCAGCCUGGGUGACGGUCACCAUGGCGAGAAGGCUUCCUUAUUGCAGCUGCUCCUGCCCCUUCCACAUUCCGCAAACAGACUCACCCAUGUCGCUGUGUAUUUUCACAUCCUGUCUGCUUGUUUCUUACGUGCCUAUGACAUCUUCAGAGAAGCACCCUAUCUCUAAAAUAUUUUUCUUCCUUAUAUUAAAAUCAGCUGUUACAUUUUUAUUCAAAGCUGUGCCUCGUCAAAAAGAACAAAAAGAAAAAUAUAAAGAAUACAAUCUGGGUAUGAUGGUAUACACUUGCAAUCCCAAGAAAGAUCACAGGUUUGAGGCCAACCUGGGCAGGGUACUGAAACCCUGUCUUAAAAUAAAAAAUGAAAAAGGUAGAGGAGAUAGCUCAGUCACAGAGUAUACCUGGGUUUGCUCCCCAGUACUGAGAAAGUAGAUGAUGGACAGAUGGUCUCAUCAUCCAGGUCUUUGUACCAUUAGCACAGCAGGCUUCCUUCUAGCACAGGCUCCUGCCAUGAUCUGCUGCCACACUAUAGACGCAGAAGCAAUGAGGCUGACCUACCAUGAGCUAAAACCUUCAAAACUGUGAGUCAAGGCAAAACUUUUAUCUUUUUAAGUUGAUGAUCUCAAGUAUUUUGUUAUAAAAACACAAUGCUGACUAACAGUUUGGCAGAUAGGAAGCAAUUCACAUUACCAGUGUAUGCGUCUAUGAAAUAAUGCAGGAAUAGAGGCAGGAUGUGUGAGUGGUUAAGAGCCUGGGCUUUGUGGUUAAAUCCCCCUAAGUUGGAAUCUCAAAUAUGACUUUAGAUUAAUGAUUCUCUCUGAACUUUGGCUUUCUCUUAUGUAAAAUGAAGGUGACAAACCUGCCAAAAGUUAUCAUAAAGUGAUUACUAAAUUAAGUAAGCCACACAAAACUCACCAAAGAUGGCGCUUAAUAAGAUCACUACUUGUGUGUGUGCAGAAAUACAUAUUUAAAAUUUUUAUUAUUUCAGCCAUUUCAAAGUGUAAAAUUCAGUGGUGUUCAGUAAAUUCAUGAGGCAGUUCAACCAUCACCAUUAUCUAGUUCCAGAAGUUUUUAUCACCCCAAAGGAAAGUCCACCUCUGAGACAGGGUCACUCCCAUUCCCCUCUGACAGCUGCUAAUCUGCUUUCACUUUAAUGGAAAAUCAUUAUCAUUUAUCUUCAGCCUUUUUCUCUCUUAGUUUUUCCUGGUAGCUUGAAUCAUGGUCAGAUUUCUCUCAUCAGACAGAAUCAAAUGUGUAAAAGAAAAUCAAAGCAAAGUUAAUUCAAAAGCUACAAGACAAACACAUAGAAAUUACUGGACCCCUCUCCCUGAUCGCUGCCCUGCCUCAUAUUUCAAUGAUGAUCUCUCCCCCUUUCUCUGUGCUCUCUAUGUCCACUCAUCCAAAGCCCUAUAGCUUGGGUACCACCAACUAGUCAAACCCAUGUUCCACUCUCAGCCUGAGUCCUCCCACCUUUUCUUUCACAGAGGACACUGCUGACCAAGCGUCUCCCUUUGUUUCCCAGUGCCACUUGUCUGCCCCAGCUUCCCGCUGUAGGAUCCCUGCUUGCUUCUCCUUCUUCAUUUGUCCCGGUGAUCACAUCCGUCCUUCCUGCGGCACUGUCAGAUGGAUGCCAGUGACUUCCAGCUCUCGGUCUGAAUUCCAGAUUCACUUGUACUGGACCUUCCUUCCUAUUGUUUUCAAGACAUCAGCUCUGGUGUGGAUGUGUGCCCUAAGUUGCUGUGUUGAAAGUUGAAUAUCCAGGGCAACGGUAUGCAGAGGUGGAACAUUUGGAGGGGACUAGGUCAUAAGGACUCUGCCCUCAUGAAUGGACGAGUGCCAGCACCAUAAAAGAGGAUUUGUUAUCUCUAGAGCAGGUUGUUGCACAAGUACACUUGGCCGCCUCUUGCUCUCUCCCACUCUCCCUUGCAUCAGUAUUGGAUUUUGCAGCUUCUGGAACUAUGAAAAAUAAAUUCUUGUCUUUAUAAGUUA